GGCUGGAGUACACACGCGAGACAGAUCAAAUCUUUCGCCUUUUACUAAAGAUUUCCGUGGAGAGGAACGUUGACAAGUUCAACUUAUUUUUUGAAGGCUUUGUCUUUGCAAAGCU